CAAGCCAGAAGAGGCGCGUCGCCCAGGUAGAGUGUCAGAGGAGCCGUUAUCCGAUGACGGCACUGGAGGGGGAGCGACGCCGAGGCGUGAUGAAAGCGGCAAUCAUUAACGUCGGCUACAGGGGCUGAAUCCCCUGAGUUGUCACCAUGGGUCGCCUGUAAAGGCGGUCAGCAAGGUGGGGCGCUUCUGGGUGU
rnacentral:ncRNA from 2 species